rnacentral:rRNA from 2 species
AGUCGAACGAACUCUGGUAUUGAUUGGUGCUUGCAUCAUGAUUUACAUUUGAGUGAGUGGCGAACUGGUGAGUAACACGUGGGAAACCUGCCCAGAAGCGGGGGAUAACACCUGGAAACAGAUGCUAAUACCGCAUAACAACUUGGACCGCAUGGUCCGAGCUUGAAAGAUGGCUUCGGCUAUCACUUUUGGAUGGUCCCGCGGCGUAUUAGCUAGAUGGUGGGGUAACGGCUCACCAUGGCAAUGAUACGUAGCCGACCUGAGAGGGUAAUCGGCCACAUUGGGACUGAGACACGGCCCAAACUCCUACGGGAGGCAGCAGUAGGGAAUCUUCCACAAUGGACGAAAGUCUGAUGGAGCAACGCCGCGUGAGUGAAGAAGGGUUUCGGCUCGUAAAACUCUGUUGUUAAAGAAGAACAUAUCUGAGAGUAACUGUUCAGGUAUUGACGGUAUUUAACCAGAAAGCCACGGCUAACUACGUGCCAGCAGCCGCGGUAAUACGUAGGUGGCAAGCGUUGUCCGGAUUUAUUGGGCGUAAAGCGAGCGCAGGCGGUUUUUUAAGUCUGAUGUGAAAGCCUUCGGCUCAACCGAAGAAGUGCAUCGGAAACUGGGAAACUUGAGUGCAGAAGAGGACAGUGGAACUCCAUGUGUAGCGGUGAAAUGCGUAGAUAUAUGGAAGAACACCAGUGGCGAAGGCGGCUGUCUGGUCUGUAACUGACGCUGAGGCUCGAAAGUAUGGGUAGCAAACAGGAUUAGAUACCCUGGUAGUCCAUACCGUAAACGAUGAAUGCUAAGUGUUGGAGGGUUUCCGCCCUUCAGUGCUGCAGCUAACGCAUUAAGCAUUCCGCCUGGGGAGUACGGCCGCAAGGCUGAAACUCAAAGGAAUUGACGGGGGCCCGCACAAGCGGUGGAGCAUGUGGUUUAAUUCGAAGCUACGCGAAGAACCUUACCAGGUCUUGACAUACUAUGCAAAUCUAAGAGAUUAGACGUUCCCUUCGGGGACAUGGAUACAGGUGGUGCAUGGUUGUCGUCAGCUCGUGUCGUGAGAUGUUGGGUUAAGUCCCGCAACGAGCGCAACCCUUAUUAUCAGUUGCCAGCAUUAAGUUGGGCACUCUGGUGAGACUGCCGGUGACAAACCGGAGGAAGGUGGGGAUGACGUCAAAUCAUCAUGCCCCUUAUGACCUGGGCUACACACGUGCUACAAUGGAUGGUACAACGAGUUGCGAACUCGCGAGAGUAAGCUAAUCUCUUAAAGCCAUUCUCAGUUCGGAUUGUAGGCUGCAACUCGCCUACAUGAAGUCGGAAUCGCUAGUAAUCGCGGAUCAGCAUGCCGCGGUGAAUACGUUCCCGGGCCUUGUACACACCGCCCGUCACACCAUGAGAGUUUGUAACACCCAAAGUCGGUGGGGUAACCUUUUAGAACCAG